rnacentral:rRNA from 1 species
CCUACGGGUGGCAGCAGUGAGGAAUAUUGGGCAAUGGGCGCGAGCCUGAACCAGCAAAGCAGCGUGAAGGAUGACUGCCCUACGGGGUGUAAACUUCUUUUAUAAAGGAAUAAAGUGAGGCACGUGUGCCUUUUUGCAUGUACUUUAUGAAUAAGGAUCGGCUAACUCCGUGCCAGCAGCCGAGGUAAUACGGAGGAUCCGAGCGUUAUCCGGAUUUAUUGGGUUUAAAGGGAGCGUAGUUGGGUUGUUAAGUCAGUUGUGAAAGUUUGCGGCUCAACCGUAAAAUUGCAAUUGAUACUGGCAGUCUUGAGUACAGUUGAGGUAGGCGGAAUUCGUGGUGUAGCUGUGAAAUGCUUAGAUAUCACGAAGAACUCCGAUUGCGAAGGCAGCUUACUAAACUGCCACUGACAUUGAUGCUCGAAAGUGUGGGUAUCAAACAGGAUUAGAUACCCGUGUAGUC